GCUGGGCGUGGUGGCGCACACCUGUAAUCCCAGCUAUUCGGGAGGCUGAGGCAGGAGAAUUCCUUGAGCCCAGGAGGCAGAGGUUGCAGUGAGCUGAGAUCGUGCCACUGCACUCUAGCCUGGCCAACAGAGUGAGACUCUGUCUCAA
ensembl:misc_RNA Metazoa_SRP Metazoan signal recognition particle RNA